AUUCUAAAGAGGAUUUGCCAGUGGAUUUGAUGUGGAGAAUGGGAAGUGAUGAUGAGUCAGAGGAUGACACUAAUAUUUUGGGCCUGAGCGAUUCAAAAAUGGACUUGUCAUUUACUAAUGAGAGGAGAAGAGGAAGCGGAGAAAAUUCUCUUGAGGUAGCAGAAAGAGAAAUACCAUAUUGAAAAGUAGAGGUGAUCAAGAGAAAGUUUUAAAGCUGGGAGCUGUGACAGUUUGUAAGCUGUUGAAAAGAGCAAGAUCAGGAUGGGUAUGUUUGGAUCCUGACUCCCUGUCUGUGUGAUCUUGGAUGGUGACUGAUUGUCUGUAAUGAACGUAAUACUGUGUGAAUAAAACAUUUCUGAAAGAGAGAGAAUGACGUGGACUUAGAAGCCCUGUGAUUGGAUCUACAAAAUUGGAAGUUUCCUAAGGGCAGAGAAAGGGACAUAUUUUUCAAAAUUCUUACAUUUCUCAUGGCACCUAAUUGUCUGCUAAACACAUGGAACGGGAAGAUGUACUUUUCCAGGUGUAGGAGUGAAUUGAAAAGUCAGAAAAUCUAUAGAAGUAUAUGACCCUCCUGAGAGGUCAGAUCUAAGGCUUCUUCAGUUUCCAUAUUUGGGGAGGACUGUCAAAAUGGAGUGAUUAAUUACAUCUCUAGGGACUUGUUUGUCUCCUACGUA